AGGACGAACGCUGGCGGCGUGCUUAACACAUGCAAGUGGUGCGACGAACCAGGGCUUGCCCUGGGGCAAAGCCGCGAACGGGUGAGUAACACGUGAGUAACCUGCCCCGAUGACCGGGACAACCCGAGGAAACUCGGGCUAAUACCGGAUGUGGCGCACAGAUUUAAGUCUGUUCGCUAAAGGAAGCUUCGGCCUCCGCAUUGGGAGGGGCUCGCGGCCCAUUAGCUUGUUGGUGGGGUAACGGCCUACCAAGGCAACGAUGGGUAGCUGGUCUGAGAGGACGAUCAGCCACACUGGGACUGAGACACGGCCCAGACUCCUACGGGAGGCAGCAGUGGGGGAAUAUUGCCCAAUGGACGAAAGUCUGAGGCAGCAACGCCGCGUGCGCGAUGAAGGCCUUCGGGUCGUAAGCGCUUUUCGGGAGGAGUGAGGAAGGACAGUACUCCGGAAUAAGGAACGGUCUAACUACGUGCCAGCAGCCGC
rnacentral:rRNA from 1 species